GACCAGUUUCCCUAGGUCGUGAAGAGUUCACCUGCGAAGUUAAUUUAUGGGCUGGGGAGCACUAAUGAAUUGAUGCAUAUUUUGUCCAGUGUGAAGUCCUUUGUGAAUGAGCCACAUUUUUUACUCAUUCAAGUCCCUACAGCAUAAUCACAUAGAUUAACUCACUUGGAUCGUUAAUUGUUACACUGUAAGAACUCCACAAACUUGAUCAGAGAGGUCUGCAGCUCAGUACACUACUGCAGAUGCAUGUGGACCAAAGAAAGAAGGUCAAGGGAUCCAAUUAUGUUUGCAAUGAUCAAUUUCCCUAUUAAGAUUUUAAAUAUAUUUAUCCUUUUUUCAAAGCAUGUAAGAAAGUAUUUAUCAGUGAAAUGAAAAUAAAAAUGCUGAUCAGUAGUGAAGCAAAUUCACCUGG
rnacentral:lncRNA from 1 species